rnacentral:rRNA from 1 species
AACGAACGCUGGCGGCAGGCCUAACACAUGCAAGUCGAGCGAGGACUUCGGUUCUAGCGGCGGACGGGUGAGUAACGCGUGGGAAUGUGCCCUUCUCUACGGAAUAGCCCUGGGAAACUGGGAGUAAUACCGUAUACGCCCUAUUGGGGAAAGAUUUAUCGGAGAAGGAUCAGCCCGCGUUGGAUUAGGUAGUUGGUGGGGUAAUGGCCUACCAAGCCGACGAUCCAUAGCUGGUUUGAGAGGAUGAGCAGCCACACUGGGACUGAGACACGGCCCAGACUCCUACGGGAAGCAGCAGUGGGGAAUCUUAGACAAUGGGGGCAACCCUGAUCGAGCCAUGCCGCGUGAGUGAUGAAGGCCGUAGGGUUGUAAAGCUCUUUCAGCUGGGAAGAUAAUGACGGUACCAGCAGAAGAAGCCCCGGCUAACUCCGUG